CUGCUGCCUCCCGUAGGAGUCUGGGCCGUGUCUCAGUCCCAGUGUGGCCGUCCGCCCUCUCAGGCCGGCUACUGAUCGUCGCUUUGGUAGGCCGUUACCCUGCCAACUGGCUAAUCAGACGCGGGCCCAUCCUGUACCACCGGAGUUUUCAGGAAAAAGCCAUGCGGCUUCUCCCGUUAUGCGGUAUUAGCACCUAUUUCUAAGUGUUAUCCCCCAGUCUAAGGCCGGUUACCGUACGCCGUACUCUACCCGUCCGCCACCUAACGAUUUUACA
rnacentral:rRNA from 1 species